rnacentral:sRNA from 1 species
AAGACGAACAAAUCCUGAAAUCUCGCUGC